UAUGUGAUCGUCUCUCGCAUAUCAAUAAGCGGAGGAAAAGAAACUAACAAGGAUUCCCUUAGUAACGGCGAGUGAAGCGGGAAGAGCUCAAAUUUGAAAUCUUAAAGGGUUUCCCUUUACGAAUUGUAGUUUAAAGAAGUGUUUUCUGUUGAGGUUUUGGUAAAAGUUCUUUGGAAUAGGACAUCAUAGAGGGUGAGAAUCCCGUAUUUGACCUUUACUUUCAACUUUGUGAUACACUUUCAAAGAGUCGGAUUGUUUGGGAAUGCAGUCCAAAAUGGGUGGUAAAUUUCAUCUAAAGCUAAAUAUUGGCGAGAGACCGAUAGCGAACAAGUACCGUGAGGGAAAGAUGAAAAGAACUUUGAAAAGAGAGUUAAACAGUACGUGAAAUUGUCAAAAGGGAAGCGUUUGACACCAGUGUUGUUUUUCUGAAAAUCAAUUAAAGAACUGUUUAUGCUAAGCUGUUUAGACUUUAUCAGCUAUCUGUUUAGUUUUGAGCUUUUCUUUAAUGCACUUUUCAGUUAACAAGUCAACAUCAAUUUCUUUUGCUGUAAAAAAGCCUGAGGAAGGUGGCUUGAGAUUCGUCUUAAGUGUUUAUAGCCUCUUGCCUAUGCAGUCGGAGAGAUUGAGGUCUGCAGCGUAGAUCCUUCGGGGCUAAAUGCAUUUGUGCUAAGUUAUAGCAUUUUAUAGACAACUUGUUGACUAUGAUUUGUCUUGUAGCUUACUCGCUUAUGUUAUUUUACCUACGCUUAGGAUGUUGAUCUCUCACAGUCGAGC
rnacentral:rRNA from 1 species